rnacentral:rRNA from 1 species
UUGACCUCGGAUCAGGUAGGGAUACCCGCUGAACUUAAGCAUAUCAAUAAGCGGAGGAAAAGAAACCAACCGGGAUUGCCCCAGUAACGGCGAGUGAAGCGGCAAGAGCUCAAAUUUGAAAUCUGGCCCCUCCGGGGUCCGAGUUGUAAUUUGCAGAGGAUGCUUCGGGUGCGGCCCCUGUCUAAGUGCCCUGGAACGGGCCGUCAGAGAGGGUGAGAAUCCCGUCUUGGGCAGGGUGCCCGUGCCCGUGUGAAGCUCCUUCGACGAGUCGAGUUGUUUGGGAAUGCAGCUCUAAAUGGGUGGUAAAUUUCAUCUAAAGCUAAAUACCGGCCGGAGACCGAUAGCGCACAAGUAGAGUGAUCGAAAGAUGAAAAGCACUUUGAAAAGAGAGUUAAACAGCACGUGAAAUUGUUGAAAGGGAAGCGCUUGCGACCAGACUCGACCCCGGGGUUCAGCCAGCACUCGUGCUGGUGUACUUCCCCGGGGCCGGGCCAGCGUCGGUUUGGGCGGUCGGUCAAAGGCCCUAGGAAUGUAUCAUCCUCCGGGAUUGUCUUAUAGCCUAGGGUGCAAUGCGGCCAGCCCGGACCGAGGAACGCGCUUCGGCACGGACGCUGGCGUAAUGGUCGCAAACGACC